UCGCCGCCUGUAGUCAGCCUCCUAAGCCUGCCUCCUUUGGUCCUCGGCACCUCCUCCUUGGCUCAACUAGGGGCCGCCCCGCACCUCCAGCCCCGGCUGGCCCGCUGGGAGCUGCAGAAAUUCGCUGUCUCCCUCUAUCCCACCUGGGAGAUGAGGAAACUGGGGUCCAUAGAAGUCUAAGGACUUGUCCAAGGUCACAGAGUGACAAAACCAGUACAAGAACUUACUCUCCUGUGUUCUUUCCACCACAUCGACAACCUUUGCUAAGAAGUUGUUACAGUGACCUUCUUCCAUGGAACUCCCGUAUUCCUUCUGGUCUCUAUAGCUCAUAUUACUUCUCAAAUAUAUCUUGCUUUGUGAUAUCUGUAUUGUUUUCUGCCUUUCCUAAAUAUUUUUCUAUUAUUUGAUUUUAUAUGUAUUUGCUCUGUUUUCCCAAUUGAACUGUACUUUUUUACAGGGUAGAGAUUGGAGCAGCUAGGUGGUGCAGUGGACAGAGUGCUGGGCCUGAAGAUGAGUCUUCCUGAGUUCCAAUCCAGCCUCAGCCACUUACUGUGUGAUACUGGUCAAGUCACUUAACCCCAAUUGCCUGAAAAAUAAAUAAAUAAAGGAGUUGGAAGAAACCACGGCGAGCAUCCUGUCCAGUCCCCUCACUUUGUAGAUGAGGAAACUAGAACCCAGAGAAUUCGGUGAUUUGCUCAUGAUCCAACAGCUGGUUAAUGGCAGAGCCCAGGAUGACAACCCCCCCCCAGGUUCUCUCCCCAGCCCCCACCCCCAGGGUGGGAUGCAGUCCUGGGUUCCAGUCCCUUCUUCACCACUUAAAAGCUGCAUGACUUUGGACCUGUUACUGAACCCAUGGGGACCUUUGACUCUUCUGCUAUAAAAGAAGGAAUCCUCUCCAGGGUCCCUUUCAGCUCUUACAUUCAAUGAUGCUAUCACCAAAGUUUUCAGCAUUCUCUGAUUUUAAUUGAGGUUGCAUAUCCUCCUCUUAGGGCAGCUAAGUAGUGUAGUAGGUAGAGUUCUGGCCUCGCAGUCAGGAAUGUGCGUCUUUCUGAGUUCAAAUCUGGCCUUAGACACUUAUUAACUGUGUGGCCCUGGGCAAGUCAUUUGACCCUGUUUGCCUCAGUUUCCUCAUUUGUAAAAUGAACUGGAGAAGGAAAUGGCAAACCGCUCCACUAUUUCUGUGAAGAAAACCCCAAAUGGGGUCGUGAAGAGUCAGACACAACUGAAAAGACUGAACAACAACAAUAAACCUCCUCUUGAGUUGACUGGGCUAUCUUCU
rnacentral:lncRNA from 1 species